UACGAAGGGGGCUAGCGUUGCUCGGAAUCACUGGGCGUAAAGCGCACGUAGGCGGACUCUUAAGUCGGUGGUGAAAUCCUGGAGCUCAACUCCAGAACUGCCUCGAUACUGAGAGUCUUGAGUCCGGGAGAGGUGAGUGGAACUGCGAGUGUAGAGGUGAAAUUCGUAGAUAUUCGCAAGAACACCAGUGGCGAAGGCGG
rnacentral:rRNA from 1 species